rnacentral:rRNA from 1 species
CUACGGGUGGCUGCAGUGAGGAAUAUUGGUCAAUGGGCGCGAGCCUGAACCAGCCAUCCCGCGUGCAGGAUGACGGCCCUAUGGGUUGUAAACUGCUUUUCUAUGCCAAGAAACCUGAUUACGUGUAAUCAGUUGCCGGUAGCAUAGGAAUAAGCAUCGGCUAACUCCGUGCCAGCAGCCGCGGUAAUACGGAGGAUGCAAGCGUUAUCCGGAUUCAUUGGGUUUAAAGGGUGCGCAGGUGGGCUUGUAAGUCAGUGGUGAAAUGCUGCCGCUUAACGGUAGAACUGCCAUUGAUACUGCGAGUCUUGAGUAUGGUUGAGGUAGGCGGAAUGUGUUGUGUAGCGGUGAAAUGCAUAGAUAUGACACAGAACGCCAAUUGCGAAGGCAGCUUACUAAGCCAUUACUGACGCUGAGGCACGAAAGCGUGGGGAGCGAACAGGAUUAGAUACCCGCGUAGUC